rnacentral:lncRNA from 1 species
UGCAAAAUUAUUUAGAAAAAUACAGCAAAUGCUGGAAGCUAGAAUAGGAAGUUAUAAAUCAGCAUCUUGAUGGUAAAAUGAAAAUCAACAACUAGUAGCACUUUUUUGAAUUGUCUUUACAUUGGGGUAAUGUUAAUUUUGAUUGGUAUGGAGAUAGAUGCAUACAAUGGAAAACGAACUGCUGUUAUAUUUUUGGAAGAGGUUAAACAACAAGAUGUAAUUCGAGAUAUUGUUUCUAAUGUUCUUAAAGACGUGUUAUUCGUUCAAGUAAACGAUGCUGUUAAAGCAUGUUGUCUGAGCAGUUAAAGAAACUUAAUCAAAUGACUCAAAAUUCUCUUCUUUAAGCAGCCGAAGCAACGAUACUCGAAAUGCCUGGAAUGGAUAAUUAACCAAGUAAUAAAUAAACUUUGAAAU